AUUGAACGCUGGCGGCAUGCCUAACACAUGCAAGUCGAACGGGUUGUAGCAAUACAACUAGUGGCGGACGGGUGAGGAAUACAUAGGAAUUUGCCUUUAGGUGGGGGAUAGUCCGGGGAACCUCGGUUUAAUACCGCAUGAUGUCGCAAGACCAAAGCAGGGGAUCGCAAGACCUUGCGCCUUUAGAGAAGCCGAUGUCGGAUUAGCUAGUUGGUAGGGUAAUGGCCUACCAAGGCGACGAUCCGUAACUGGUCUGAGAGGACGAUCAGUCACACCGGAACUGAGACACGGUCCGGACUCCUACGGGAGGCAGCAGUGGGGAAUAUUGGACAAUGGGCGAAAGCCUGAUCCAGCAAUGCCGCGUGUGUGAAGAAGGCCUUCGGGUUGUAAAGCACUUUAGGCUGGGAAGAAAAAGCUUUACCUAAUACGUGAAGCCUUGACGGUACCAGCGGAAUAAGCACCGGCUAACUCUGUGCCAGCCGCCGCCGUAA
rnacentral:rRNA from 1 species